rnacentral:rRNA from 1 species
GACGAACGCUGGCGGCGUGCUUAACACAUGCAAGUCGAACGGAAAGGCCCCUUCGGGGGUACUCGAGUGGCGAACGGGUGAGUAACACGUGAGUAACCUGCCCUUGACUUCGGGAUAACUUCAGGAAACUGGGGCUAAUACCGGAUAGGAAUCCUUGCUGCAUGGUGGGGGUUGGAAAGCUUCGGCGGUUUUGGAUGGACUCGCGGCGUAUCAGCUUGUUGGUGGGGUAGUGGCUUACCAAGGCUUUGGCGGGUAGCCGGCCUGAGAGGGCGACCGGCCACAUUGGGACUGAGAGACGGCCCAGACUCCUACGGGAGGCAGCAGUGGGGAAGAUUGCACAAGGGGCGGAGGCCGGAUGCAGCAACGCCGCGUGCGGGAUAACGGCCUUCGGGUUGUAAACCGCUUUCAGCAGGGGCGAAGCUUGUGGUGACGGUACCUGCAGAAGAAGCACCGGCUAACUACGUG